rnacentral:rRNA from 1 species
UGCANGUCGAACGGCAGCACGGACUUCGGUCUGGUGGCGAGUGGCGAACGGGUGAGUAAUGCAUCGGAACGUGCCAUUGAGUGGGGGAUAACGUAGCGAAAGUUGCGCUAAUACCGCAUAUUCUGUGAGCAGGAAAGCAGGGGACCGCAAGGCCUUGCGCUCUUUGAGCGGCCGAUGUCAGAUUAGCUAGUUGGUGAGGUAAAGGCUUACCAAGGCGACGAUCUGUAGCGGGUCUGAGAGGAUGAUCCGCCACACUGGAACUGAGACACGGUCCAGACUCCUACGGGAGGCAGCAGUGGGGAAUUUUGGACAAUGGGGGCAACCCUGAUCCAGCCAUGCCGCGUGAGUGAAGAAGGCCUUCGGGUUGUAAAGCUCUUUCGGCCGGGAAGAAAUCGCAUGGGCCAAUACCCUGUGUGGAUGACGGUACCGGAAUAAGAAGCACCGGCUAACUACGUGCCAGCAGCCGCGGUAAUACGUAGGGUGCGAGCGUUAAUCGGAAUUACUGGGCGUAAAGCGUGCGCAGGCGGUUUUGUAAGACAGGCGUGAAAUCCCCGGGCUUAACCUGGGAACUGCGUUUGUGACUGCAAGGCUAGAGUACGGCAGAGGGGGGUGGAAUUCCACGUGUAGCAGUGAAAUGCGUAGAGAUGUGGAGGAACACCAAUGGCGAAGGCAGCCCCCUGGGUCGAUACUGACGCUCAUGCACGAAAGCGUGGGUAGCAAACAGGAUUAGAUACCCUGGUAGUCCACGCCCUAAACUAUGUCAACUANGUGUUGGGUUGGUAAAACCAUUUAGUACCGUAGCUAACGCGUGAAGUUGACCGCCUGGGGAGUACGGCCGCAAGGUUAAAACUCAAAGGAAUUGACGGGGACCCGCACAAGCGGUGGNNGAUGUGGAUUAAUUCGAUGCAACGCGAAAAACCUUACCUACCCUUGACA